rnacentral:rRNA from 1 species
GAUGAACGCUGGCGGCAUGCUUAAUACAUGCAAGUCGGACGGGUAGUGGUGCUUCCAGUGGCGGACGGGUGAGGAACGCGUAAGAACCUGCCCUUGGGAGGGGAACAACAGCCGUAAACGUCUGCUAAGACCCCGUAGUCUGAGGAGCAAAAGGAGGAAUCCGCCUGAGGAGGGGCUCUCGUCUGAUUAGCAAGUGGGUGAGGCAAUAGCGUACCAAGGCGAUGAUCAGUAGCUGGUCCGAGAGGAUGAGCUGCCACACUGGGACUGAGACACGGCCCAGACUCCUACGGGAGGCAGCCGAAAGUAAUUUUCCGCAAUGGGCGAAGACCUGACGAGGCUAUGCCACGUGGAGGUAGAGGGCCUACGGGUCGUGAACUUCUUUACCCGGAGAAGAAGCAAUGACGGUAUCUGGGGAAUAAGCCUCGGCUAACUCUGUG